GGGGGGAGGUGGCUAAAUCUUGUGGCGGCGUGUGUGUGUGCGAUUGUAUCUCUUAAGAAAUGUAUAACAAUGUAUAUCUAGGUCACAUUUUAUAGCGAGCUGUGUUAACUGUGUUAGGAAAUUUCAGUAAAGUGAUACAGGAAUGUGUACCGCUCUGUGCUUGUUUAAUAACAUGCCGUGGGCUUAAGUUGGUUAAGCUGAUGCAGACUAGAGAGAUGGUGUUAUAGUUCACUUUAAGCGAUUAUCUAAUGUUCGCUACACAGGAUCAUCUCAUGAUCAAUGUACACGAGCUGUCACGGAGAUCUAGAUUUGUGUGACAGGUUUAAACGUUUUUAAGAUUCUGUGAGUCAAGAUGUGUUCAAGCGAUGUGUUCAACAUAGUGUGUGUACAAGGUAUAAUAGACGUUCAACUUCCGGUGAGAACCACAACAAAGUGUAUGUGCUUUCCUCUGUACAAGGAGGUCUUCGUUGUGGUGGUGUCUGUGAAUACAACUUUUUUGUAAGAUCUGCAGCACUAGGCCAAAUGUCGCCAAAUGUCACCUUUUUAUGACUAAGCUUAAAGUUCAAUGUCGCAAACUCGCUGUCAAAAGCUUAUUGAAAAUAUAACCGGGAAACAAAAGAAAGCAUCAUUUUUUACUGCCAUGUGUAUAAAGAAGAGUUACGACAAUAAACCAUCUCGUCUGGACAACCAAAAAUCAAUAUGCUACAUAGUUUAGCUGACUAAAAUGUUGUCGCUGGGAUCAACAUAAAAUAGACAGUAAUAUGCAUGACAGAAAAACAAUCUUUCUAAGCUUCUAUCAUGUAUACCAGCGCAAUGAAAGCUUAAAACUCUAGGUACGGAUCUAGGUACUGAUCUAGAUACUGAUCUAAAACUGCCAAAUAUAACUUGUAGUUUUCUGUGUGAAAAACAGUGUCUGGUCUUGGAACUCCGGAUGGCUAGGCUAAGGAUGAAAUAUCUUUAUUUUCGUCGUUACCAGUGCGUCCUUUUGUUCGUCGCAAGCCUGGGUCUACUAGGCUUGGUUUUGGAAUAUAAGAAAUAUGGUAAAACUCGUGGAGAACGAUGGAGAGACCCCAAAGGUACUUAAAGAAGCAACAAAUCAAAAGCGAAGUACAUUAAGUUAUGUCUGCAGUAUACCAAGAGAUUAACCGCCUGUGAUAGAUGCUCCUGUUGCAGUCCCCACCCCUUGACUGCUGAUACAGCUUAAAAAGAAUUCACCCCUUGUAAAUUACAUUCCCGUUUCCACUCAUAGACGCAUCUAGCCAUUUUUUU
rnacentral:sRNA from 1 species